UCACGGAGAGGUGGUGUAGUUGCAGCUUUAUGCCGCGACCAGGAUGGACAAUAUUUGGGGUCAUCGGCGGUGGUUUACUAUGGGAUCACUGAUCUCUUAACUUUGGAGACUUAUGCAUGCUGUGAGGCCCUUGCUUUGGCCGACGACCUGGGAGAGCAGAAGGUUUGCGUGGCCUCGGACUGCCAAGAGGCAGUGAAUGACAUCAACAGGGGAACAGGAGGCCCCAAUGCCGCUUUGGUGCAUGAAAUAAUGAACCACUAUAAUAGCUUUAUUUCUUUCUCUUUUGUUUUUGAGCGUAGGAACUUUAAUUUUGAAGCUCAGAAUCUCGCCAAGUUUGCUUGUAACCUAGAUAUAGGCAGACAUGUUUGGUUGGGCACCCCCCCCAUGACCCAAACCUUGUACCUAUGA
rnacentral:rRNA from 1 species